rnacentral:rRNA from 1 species
UACGUAGGGGGCUAGCGUUGUCCGGAUUUAUUGGGCGUAAAGAGCGUGUAGGCGGCUUUGUAGGUCCGCUGUGAAAACUCGAGGCUCAACCUCGAGAUGUCGGCGGAAACCACUUGGCUAGAGUCCGGAAGAGGAGAGUGGAAUUCCCGGUGUAGCGGUGAAAUGCGCAGAUAUCGGGAAGAACACCUAUGGCGAAGGCAGCUCUCUGGGACGGUACUGACGCUGAGACGCGAAAGCGUGGGGAGCGAACAGG